AGUUACCUGGUCUGAUAGUGAUGAUCAGGCACACCGUCACCUGGGACACGGUCCGGACUCCUACUGGGAUGCAGCAGUUGAGGAAUUUAGCGCAAUGUGGGGAAACCCUGGACGCAAGGCGAACCUCCUGCGGUGAGUGAUGAAGGCUUUCGGGUCGUAAAGCGUCUGUCACGUGUGAAGAACCCACCAAGUGUUAAGACCACUUGUUGCUUACGGCUACCGACCGAAGGACGCACCGGUUAAGUCCGUGCCAGCGUCCUCCGGAUUACUGGGGUUGCGAGCGUGAUUCGGAUUCGUUGUGCGUCAAGGGCGCGCGUGCGGUGCUGUACCGCGGAUGUGACAUCCCGGGGCUUGUCCCCGGAUGUGCAUAUGAAACUAUGAGACUUGAGUAUGGCAGAGGGAAGCGUAAUUCCUGGUGUAACGGUGAAAUGCGUAGAUAUCAUGAGGAACAGCGGUGGCGACUGCGGCUUCCUGGACCAGUACUGACGCUGAAGCGCAAAGGCGUGGGGAGCGAACCGGAUUCGAUACCCU
rnacentral:rRNA from 1 species